GCAAAGAAGUCCAAUCAGAAAAUUGAUGUUUACAGAUCCGUGAUGAUAGACCGUGUGUACGCUCCGUGCGUAAAAACGGAUAGGCCCGCUGGACGGCGGUUGGCUCAGGGUGGACGCAACGUACCAACACAAUACGUCCCUCUGAAUAGGAUCAAUGAAAGAAUCUCCUCAAACCGCGAGACUGAAACGGAAUAAGGCCUAAAUUGCGGGAGUCGGUCGGUUAUGUUUUGUCCCGCAUGAGGCCUUGUCAAUAGGCUGAAGCCUGCUGUGGGUUUACAUACGGACCCAGAUGAGCCCUUUGUUCACGGGAGGACAUGAACAAUAGCUGUAGGCCCUCCUCCUCCUCCUCCUCCUCCUCCUCCUCUCCCUCCGCAAUGCAUUUGCUCCUCUCUCCUCUGCCCAGUACCGCCAGCCGCCCUCUCCACCCUUCUCCUCCCCCCACUAAUGCACAACUGCACAUGAAGGUUGUCUGGUUCACUCCUCACACCUGCCUCCGAUCUACUCACCGGCUCUUCAGAAGCUUCUCACCACGGGUUCUCAUCUGCUCCACUCCACGGACUGUCUGCCUCAGCCUGGGACUCCUCCUCGCUUCACGGAGCUUCCCUCCACACACCUGGUUACUCUUCCAACUUGUUGGUACAAUAACAAUACACUAACCACUUGAACUCUGUUUUCGAGUCUUGCUUUUGGGUCCAAAAUCUCUGUGUAUGAUAACAGGAUGUCUACAGGUAACUUCAGUCUGCAAGCUUUGAUUAUUACAGCAAACAUUGUUCUCCCAUAUUGUAUAACUUGUUUUCUAAUUGCUUUCUCAAAACGGCCAUUAUAAAUGUGUUUUUUUUGGGGGUUUUUUUUUUUUUGCAAUAAUGUGAAGAAGUACCUUGAUUUGUCAUGUAUUUAUUUCUCUGGAUUCAUUAAACAGAGACACCACCAUGUGGUUAUAUUAAUCAAAAUGUUUAUCAGAAAAUGUACUACAUAACUCUCAAUAUAAUGGUUAAAAAUAAUAUGGUAAAUUGACUGCAUUUAUAUAGUGCUUUUCUACCUUAACUGACAAAGUGCUUUACAAUGUCUGUUGUCUUGCUAAAGGACACUUCAGCACAUAGACAGGAGGGUCAGGGGAUAGACCCGCUCUUCGUCCUGAACCACAGCCACCCUCAAUGUACCGUGACAGUAUUUUCUCCUUAUCGACCACCCCUGGUUAAUGAUUAAAAAACAAAACACAGGAUUUUUUUUUUUUUUUUUUUUUUGCAUAAUGAGUACUUAUACUUUUUUACUAUACAAUAAUUGAAGACAUUAAGUAUUUUGACAUUGUUGUAUUACUACUUUUACUUGAGUAAAGGAUCAGAAUACGUCCUCCACCACUGCUUAUCUGUCAGACAGAAAAUUGUUAUUGAUGCAGCUCCUCUGCAAGAGCAAAUAAAAGCACAUCUUCACAUAAAAGAACAAUAAUCAAAGCUGUUAUGCAAAUGUGCUUCAUAAGUAAAACUGUAUGCAAAUGA